rnacentral:rRNA from 1 species
UACGGAGGGGGCGAGCGUUAUUCGGAAUUACUGGGCGUAAAGCGUGCGCAGGCGGUUUUGUAAGCCAGAUGUGAAAUCCCCGGGCUUAACCUGGGAAUGGCAUUUGGGACUGCAAGGCUGGAGUUUGGCAGAGGAGACUGGAAUUCCCGGUGUAGCAGUGAAAUGCGUAGAUAUCGGGAGGAGUACCGAUGGCGAAGGCAGGUCUCUGGGCUAUAACUGACGCUCAUGCACGAAAGCGUGGGGAGCAAACAGG